rnacentral:rRNA from 1 species
GAUGAACGCUAGCGAUAGGCUUAACACAUGCAAGUCGAGGGGCAGCAUGGUCUUAGCUUGCUAAGACUGAUGGCGACCGGCGCACGGGUGCGUAACGCGUAUGCAACUUGCCUCACAGAGGGGGAUAACCCGUCGAAAGACGGACUAAUACCGCGUACACUUGGGAUAGGGCAUCCUGACCCAAGGAAAUGAAAUUCGCUGUGAGAUAGGCAUGCGUCCCAUUAGCUAGUUGGUGAGGUAACGGCUCACCAAGGCGACGAUGGGUAGGGGAACUGAGAGGUUGAACCCUCACACUGGUACUGAGACACGGACCAGACUCCUACGGGAGGCAGCAGUGAGGAAUAUUGGUCAAUGGGCGAGAGCCUGAACCAGCCAAGUCGCGUGAAGGAUGACUGUCUUAUGGAUUGUAAACUUCUUUUAUACGGGAAUAACAAGAGUCACGUGUGGCUCCCUGCAUGUACCGUAUGAAUAAGCAUCGGCUAACUCCGUG